UGCCUAAGUCCUUGUAGUUGAGAAAUCUCUAAGAGGUGGAAGCAAAUACUGCACAUGCGUGUUGGUCCUGUGAGGGAAACCAGCUAGUGGAGAGGGAGAGGUUGAAGGAACAGAAAAAUGAGAAGAUAACUCACUGGUAGAGUAACUUGGAAUAGAUAGAAAUGGGAUCCUGGGCACGUAUUAGUUGUGGGGAUAGGAGAAUGAAUCCUUUAUCUGUGACUCCUGAUGGAGUAAAAAAAAGAUUAUGGAUAAUCAUAAGCUCAGGUGUGAGGUAGGGCAGAGAGAAAAAGAAGGAAUUUACACCUGAUGGCUUCUGUUUUCUCUGUAAAGUUGGUGACAGAGUUGUCAGUUUAGUGUAAGGCAUUCAGAUCUGAUGGAACAUUUGAGCAGUUUGAGAAUUGCUUCUGAAGGGAUUAGAAGAAGGGCUCACCUAUGCCUGCUGGGUCAGUGGAUCCUCACCUCUAAAAUGAGAUUAAGUACUGCUUUGUGAGGUAUCUCAGGGUUGAUUGAGGGGCAAAU
rnacentral:sRNA from 1 species